UCCUGGCAAUUAGCAUGGACAAAGCUUUGUGUGUGCCUGUUUUCCUAUUAGCUGCGGCUUGCACGCCUGUGAAGGGAGGAGGGACUGGGGAAGGAAAUGGCUUGCUUUGACUUCACAAACACAUGGAAUUUGCGUUCCCAAGGUUGCACAGCAUUCAUUUGGCUUCCUGUUUCAGCAUUUUUGCAGGCUGUAGCCAUUAAGAAUAAAGUAUGCUGAGAGCCUCUUAAGAGGGAGGUGCAUCAACACAGCUGGAGGAAGGGUCACUAGUGCUCUCAGACAGGGUGUGAGUUGCAAGCCCUCAGAGGACCCAAGAUGAAAGGUCAAGUACACCUGGUUUUUUAGACUCACCUUCACCCAUUGCAUAUCCAUGUCCCUGACAACAGAAGCCACAGUAGCCUCACACUACAUUGCC